rnacentral:tRNA from 1 species
GGACUCGUGGCUCAGUGGUAGAGCACCUCGUUCACAUCGAGGGGGUCAGAGGUUCGAAUCCUCUCGGGUCCA